rnacentral:lncRNA from 1 species
GGCUAAUGACCUAGGAACGUUUUCAAUGGCUUUAUUGGUAAGGGAAGCUAGUUGUGAGAGGCUUCACUUUCAAUUCUCCCUUGUUCAACAACAUGUUCCUUCAUUUGAAUUACCAAUUCUUGAUUUAUACUUUUUAGCAUGAUGCUAACCUUCCUUCUUCAGUUUGGCCACUGCUGCUUUCACACGUUGUUCAGCAUUGUGAAAUUACUUUUCACCAUUUGGGUCAGGAGAAAUUAACUUGGAUGACAACUUGACUGUAUUGACCCCCUUGGUGUGGUGGCAGGAGAAGAGAAUGGGCCCAACAGCCUGGCCCAAGCCUAACCCUAACAGAAACAUUAGGGGUUUCUCUAGCUUCCUCUCAUUCACGCAUAUGCAAAUACAGAGACCUCUAGACUCUCUCUUCCAAAUCCAGCCCAGGGAUAGAUGCGCCUCCUCCGCCUGCACACUACCACCAGCGGCUCUGACAACACUCUGAACGGCCACCGCAGGCCGCUGUCCUUUGCGUCGCCAGAGCUGCCGCCAGACAUCACGGCGGACCGCCACCACCUUGCCCCUUUCUCCUUCGCGCGAGAGGAAGACGAACUCACUUGGACGCGUGCUCCUCGUUGCCGGCGAAACCGGGACCGUCAGUCGUUGGCCAUGAUGUCGCCGCUUUGCUGCGUCUCCGAGAGCCACCACGAGGAUUCUCUCUUCUUCCUCUGAACGCGACGCGUCUUCUCCCCAAUUUGGAGCACACCGUCGUACCUUCCACCUUGAGAGAACUACCACCCCAAAAUUAUGCUAGCGACUCUGCCGACGCUUCUAGUAGUUGUCCAAGACCAUCACCAGGUUUGCCAAUGGAAUAGGUGCAAGCAACAUCUCCCAUCUUCUCCUAUCGAUUAGAUAUUCACAAUGAAGAUGGUGAGAUUUGGGGUUUCCUCCUCUAUUUGAUGGUUGUAUGUAUUUUAUUGAAUAUGUGAUGGACUGGAAGUAAGGGUUUGAUGCUUCAAGAAUUGAGAUGAAUUGGUAUGUGAUGAUGGAAGGCGUAAGGGAGACUAGGAAGCGGAUUUGGCUCUUUCUAUUUUGGUUUUUGAAUGCAGGGAAAAUGGUUUUAGAAGUAUGAUGAGGAGGAUGGGAAUGAAGAUAGAUGGAGAUGAAAAUGAUGGAAGGGUGCUGACAGUGGGAGAGACCGUGAAUGGAGAUGGUUACAGUUUGGGUAGAGCAGAGGGAUGGAUUCUGGGUUAUGUGUGAUCAAGAAUUGGUUUCCAUUUUUCUGUUGAUUGGGAGUGAUGAAAGAGUGAUGAAUUAUGGUAGUUUUNAGAAGACUUCAGCUCGGAUUGCCUUGUUAUCAUCAUGUUCACAAUACUUGAUUGAAGCCUUUUCCUAGGGACCAUGAAAGUGGUUGCCCCAAGCUUGUUCUCCACUUCAACUGCAUUAUCUUCGGCCUUUUGAGUGUGAACUUGCCCCUGAGUACGCUCCUGAGGGUGAAGUGUAAUUUAUGGAAGACCAUGUAAGGGAAAAUUUGAGUCUCUGAUACUCUUUGUUGCAGUCGUGGUGAACACGAAUCUUCAGUUCCCUGUAAGGCAUUCAGGGCCUCUAAGGCUUGGCUCAUUUGCCCCUUCAAUUGUUGGAUAUCAACUUUUCAUCCCUUCUUGAACUUCUCCUUGGUUCUCCAAGAUUUAGUAACUGGUUCGAGUCCUUUUUUUUUUUGAUUUUUUUCUUUUUUUUUUCUUUGAAAUUUUAUUAGAUGAAACACAAGAGAAAAAGAAAAUAAACAAUAAAAAUGAAAAGAAAAAGAGAAGACGAUGUAGUUCAAAUUCUCUAGUCAGAAAUUAUAAAGCUGUGAAAAGAUUGCCCCGGUAUAAUUUGGAAAUUAACACAAGACUGAGUCAAUAGGGUAGCUCAUCAUUCAGAAGUUCACAAAAUGUGAAGCAUAGGAAGUCUUUUUCCACUACUCUGGGGCCUUAACCAUCAGCUUUUUCAUUUCCCCCAUUGAUUUCUUGCAACAAUUGAGGAAUGUUUCAAUCCCCUUAAGCGGGUUAAAAUAUCGGCAAUGCAGACACAACCUCGGCUAAUGACCUAGGAACGUUUUCAAUGGCUUUAUUGGUAAGGGAAGCUAGUUGUGAGAGGCUUCACUUUCAAUUCUCCCUUGUUCAACAACAUGUUCCUUCAUUUGAAUUACCAAUUCUUGAUUUAUACUUUUUAGCAUGAUGCUAACCUUCCUUCUUCAGUUUGGCCACUGCUGCUUUCACACGUUGUUCAGCAUUGUGAAAUUACUUUUCACCAUUUGGGUCAGGAGAAAUUAACUUGGAUGACAACUUGACUGUAUUGACCCCCUUGGUGUGGUGGCAGGAGAAGAGAAUGGGCCCAACAGCCUGGCCCAAGCCUAACCCUAACAGAAACAUUAGGGGUUUCUCUAGCUUCCUCUCAUUCACGCAUAUGCAAAUACAGAGACCUCUAGACUCUCUCUUCCAAAUCCAGCCCAGGGAUAGAUGCGCCUCCUCCGCCUGCACACUACCACCAGCGGCUCUGACAACACUCUGAACGGCCACCGCAGGCCGCUGUCCUUUGCGUCGCCAGAGCUGCCGCCAGACAUCACGGCGGACCGCCACCACCUUGCCCCUUUCUCCUUCGCGCGAGAGGAAGACGAACUCACUUGGACGCGUGCUCCUCGUUGCCGGCGAAACCGGGACCGUCAGUCGUUGGCCAUGAUGUCGCCGCUUUGCUGCGUCUCCGAGAGCCACCACGAGGAUUCUCUCUUCUUCCUCUGAACGCGACGCGUCUUCUCCCCAAUUUGGAGCACACCGUCGUACCUUCCACCUUGAGAGAACUACCACCCCAAAAUUAUGCUAGCGACUCUGCCGACGCUUCUAGUAGUUGUCCAAGACCAUCACCAGGUUUGCCAAUGGAAUAGGUGCAAGCAACAUCUCCCAUCUUCUCCUAUCGAUUAGAUAUUCACAAUGAAGAUGGUGAGAUUUGGGGUUUCCUCCUCUAUUUGAUGGUUGUAUGUAUUUUAUUGAAUAUGUGAUGGACUGGAAGUAAGGGUUUGAUGCUUCAAGAAUUGAGAUGAAUUGGUAUGUGAUGAU